rnacentral:rRNA from 1 species
UACAGAGGGGGCAAGCGUUGUUCGGAAUUACUGGGCGUAAAGGGCGCGUAGGCGGCCUUCUAAGUCGAACGUGAAGUCCCUGGGCUCAAACCAGGAACUGCGUCCGAUACUGGAAGGCUUGAAUCCGGGAGAGGGAUGCGGAAUUCCAGGUGUAGCGGUGAAAUGCGUAGAUAUCUGGAGGAACACCGGUGGCGAAGGCGGCAUCCUGGACCGGUAUUGACGCUGAGGCGCGAAAUCCAGGGGAGCAAACGGG